rnacentral:rRNA from 1 species
GAACAGUGGUGUGUAUGUUUGCGCAUUAUACCGCGAAACUGCGAAUGGCUCAUUAUAUAAGUUAUCGUUUAUUUGAUAAUACUUUACUACUUGGAUAACCGUGGUAAUUCUAGAGCUAAUACAUGCUGAAAAUCCCGACUUCGGAAGGGAUGUAUUUAUUAGAUUAAAAACCAAUGCCCCUCGGGGCUCUCUGGUGAAUCAUGAUAACUAGUCGAAUCGACAGGCCUUGUGCCGGCGAUGGCUCAUUCAAAUUUCUUCCCUAUCAACUUUCGAUGUUUGGGUAUUGGCCAAACAUGGUGGCAACGGGUAACGGAGGGUUAGGGCUCGACCCCGGAGAAGGAGCCUGAGAAACGGCUACUACAUCCAAGGAAGGCAGCAGGCGCGCAAAUUACCCAAUCCCGACACGGGGAGGUAGUGACAAUAAAUACUGAUACAGGGCUCUUUUGGGUCUUGUAAUCGGAAUGAGUACAAUUUAAAUCCCUUAACGAGGAACAAUUGGAGGGCAAGUCUGGUGCCAGCAGCCGCGGUAAUUCCAGCUCCAAUAGCGUAUAUUAAAGUUGUUGUGGUUAAAAAGCUCGUAGUUGAACCUUGGGCCUGGCUGGCCGGUCCGCCUCACCGCGUGCACUGGUCCGGCCGGGCCUUUCCCUCUGCGGAACCCCAUGCCCUUCACUGGGUGUGGCGGGGAAACAGGACUUUUACUUUGAAAAAAUUAGAGUGCUCAAGGCAGGCCUAUGCUCGAAUACAUUAGCAUGGAAUAAUAGAAUAGGACGUGUGGUUCUAUUUUGUUGGUUUCUAGGACCGCCGUAAUGAUUAAUAGGGACAGUCGGGGGCAUCAGUAUUCAAUUGUCAGAGGUGAAAUUCUUGGAUUUAUUGAAGACUAACUACUGCGAAAGCAUUUGCCAAGGAUGUUUUCAUUAAUCAGGAACGAAAGUUAGGGGAUCGAAGACGAUCAGAUACCGUCGUAGUCUUAACCAUAAACUAUGCCGACUAGGGAUCGGACGAUGUUACAUUUUUGACGCGUUCGGCACCUUACGAGAAAUCAAAGUGCUUGGGCUCCAGGGGGAGUAUGGUCGCAAGGCUGAAACUUAAAGAAAUUGACGGAAGGGCACCACCAGGGGUGGAGCCUGCGGCUUAAUUUGACUCAACACGGGGAAACUCACCAGGUCCAGACACAAUGAGGAUUGACAGAUUGAGAGCUCUUUCUUGAUUUUGUGGGUGGUGGUGCAUGGCCGUUCUUAGUUGGUGGAGUGAUUUGUCUGCUUAAUUGCGAUAACGAACGAGACCUUAACCUGCUAAAUAGCCCGUAUUGCUUUGGCAGUACGCUGGCUUCUUAGAGGGACUAUCUACGCCAUCCCCACAACC